CUUUUGCUUAUCAUCCUACUGUAUGGUUCAGUAUUUUGGUAUAAGUCUUCUAUUUUCUUCAAACCUUGUGCAGAGGUACUGUUUUCAGAUAUCUACCUAGUACUACUUCUGUUUCAAUUGUUUUUGGGAGUGUAAAACUCUCUGUUUUUGCAUUUGUUGUGGAUGUGUUCUUUAAUCUCAGUAAUUGAUCCUUCUUUUCAUCAAACAAGUGUUUCUGGGUUCUUAACUGACCUCAUUGAUUUCUGAAACAAUCUCUUGCUUGGAUAGUGGAAGUCACAUAUGGAAUAUUAUUGUUCCCCUCUGGAAAAUUGCUGGAAACAUUUGAGGUAGGUGGGACAGAUAACACCACCUCUGUUUGAUCUUCCCAGAUGCUGCCUAGUUCCACCAGCUAGGGGUUUAGUAAAUAGUGUAUUCAGUAUUCUUCCUUUUCACCCAAGUUAAGUUUUAUUUUUGUAACGGGGGAACAGGAAUGGGGCAGAUUAAGGAGUUAGGAAUAUUAUCCGAAUGUCCAAAAUCUUCUGAUUUUCUUUUGUAAGCUAUAGACUAUAGUUUAUGUAAAACUUUGGAUUUUAUUAUGUUGCCUGCAUUCCUCAUUGGUUAUGGAUAUUCUGGUUGUUUUA